rnacentral:rRNA from 1 species
UGGGGAAUCUUCCGCAAUGGACGAAAGUCUGACGGAGCGACGCCGCGUGUACGAAGAAGGCCUUCGGGUUGUAAAGUACUGUUGUUGGGGAAGAACGGCUCAAGUGUGAAUAAUGCUUGAGAUUGACGGUACCCAACGAGGAAGCCCCGGCUAACUACGUGCCAGCAGCCGCGGUAACACGUAGGGGGCGAGCGUUGUCCGGAAUUAUUGGGCGUAAAGGGCGCGUAGGCGGCCGUUUAAGUCUGAUGUGAAAGUGCGGGGCUUAACCCCGUAAAGCAUUGGAAACUGGAUGGCUUGAGGACAGGAGAGGAAAGUGGAAUUCCUAGUGUAGCGGUGAAAUGCGUAGAUAUUAGGAGGAACACCAGUGGCGAAGGCGACUUUCUGGACUGUUUCUGACGCUGAGGCGCGAAAGCGUGGGUAGCGAACAGG